UACGUAGGGGGGCUAGCGUUGUCCGGAUUUAUUGGGCGUAAAGCGCUCGCAGGUGGUUCGUCGCGUCGUGCGUGAAAGACCCCGGCUCAACUGGGGGAGGUCGUGCGAUACGGGCGGACUGGAGGCCAGUAGGGGGAUGCGGAAUUCCGGGUGUAGUGGUGGAAUGCGUAGAGAUCCGGAGGAACACCAGCGGCGAAGGCGGCAUCCUGGACCGGCAUUGACGCUGAGGAGCGAAAACCAGGGGAGCAAACGGG
rnacentral:rRNA from 1 species